UAGUGAAUUCGGAUUCGUUCU
ensembl:piRNA 21ur-3964 ncRNA